GACGUAGGGGGCAAGCGUUAUCCGGAUUUAUUGGGCGUAAAGGGCGCGCAGGCGGUGCCGAGCAGUGGCCCGUGCAAUCUCCCGGCUCACCCGGGAGGGGUCGGGCCAGACGGCGGUGCUGGAGGCACGGAGAGGGGCACGGAACGGACGGAGUAGGGGUGACAUCCGUAGAGCCCGUCCGGAACACCCGUAGCGCAGGCGGUGCCCUGGCCGUGACCUGACGCUGAGGCGCGAAAGCGUGGGGAGCGAACGGA
rnacentral:rRNA from 1 species